rnacentral:rRNA from 1 species
AUUGAACGCUGGCGGCAGGCCUAACACAUGCCAGUCGAACGGUAACAGGAAGAAGCUUGCUUCUUUGCUGACGAGUGGCGGACGGGUGAGUAAUGUCUGGGAAACUGCCUGAUGGAGGGGGAUAAUUACUGGAAACGGUAGCUAAUACCGCAUAACGUCGCAAGACCAAAGAGGGGGACCUUCGGGCCUCUUGCCAUCGGAUGUGCCCAGAUGGGAUUAGCUAGUAGGUGGGGUAACGGCUCACCUAGGCGACGAUCCCUAGCUGGUCUGAGAGGAUGACCAGCCACACUGGAACUGAGACACGGUCCAGACUCCUACGGGAGGCAGCAGUGGGGAAUAUUGCACAAUGGGCGCAAGCCUGAUGCAGCCAUGCCGCGUGUAUGAAGAAGGCCUUCGGGUUGUAAAGUACUUUCAGCGGGGAGGAAGGGAGUAAAGUUAAUACCUUUGCUCAUUGACGUUACCCGCAGAAGAAGCACCGGCUAACUCCGUG